UACAGAGGUCUCAAGCGUUGUUCGGAUUCAUUGGGCGUAAAGAGCGUGUAGGCGGCCAGGUAGGUCUGGUGUGAAAACUCGAGGCUUAACCUCGAGAUGUCAUCGGAAACCAUUUGGCUAGAGUCCGGAAGAGGAGAGUGGAAUUCCUGGUGUAGCGGUGAAAUGCGCAGAUAUCAGGAAGAACACCAAUGGCGAAAGCAGCUCUCUGGGACGGUACUGACGCUGAGACGCGAAAGCGUGGGGAGCGAACAGG
rnacentral:rRNA from 1 species